rnacentral:misc_RNA from 1 species
UGCCAUAUUCAUAUAACACGUGAACAAGUACUUUUCCGCUUUCCGCUGGCUCUUUUUAUUCAACACAGCCUUAUGUACAACUCUACUUGGCCAUUUUGGUCGACUGAGAAGGUUAUUAUAGCAAAUAACAGUCGACUACAUAGCAGAAUUUGGGGGAUUUGGUUUAUUUUACAAUACUUGUAUAGCUUCCGCCAAAUCUAUUUUCCAGACUUAGUUUACUACUUUCUUUCAUUACUGCAUAACCCAACGAUUUCACGCUACUCCUUUUCUUCCUGGAUUAGUUGAAAGCUAUUGCCUCUUGGAAACAUCAGAGUCUUCAGUCUUUGCAAACCUUCCUCGGAUCCUUGGUUGACUGUCUGCAAGAGCCUUCCUGCAAGCAUACUUAAUUUUCCUGCCAAAGUUCCUCUUUGUCUUCUUAUUCCUGUACCUGGAAAGCUUUUCCCUGCGGUCUUCAGUGGUGCAGCUGCUGAUAAUGAAUGGCUGAUCAAGGGGAGAAUGGAUGAGUCCCAUGUUCCCAUUACCAAGAGUCUGUCAUAAAAACCCAUUAUCAAUGACCCAGCCCCAGUCUGUGGGAAAUGUCCAGAAGAUUCUAAACAAUUCGUAGACUUCAUCACAAAGCCAUUCAAGCUCAGUGUUCGGGCGCGUAGAAAUGAUCCAAUAGAAUCUGAUGGUGUAUGCCAGACAAAUGAUAAAAGGGAAAGAAAACAGAAACGAAAACGAAAGCAACAGAUAAUCAUUUCAUAAGAAAUGGAUAUUUGCUGUUCACUGUAGUCUACACGUUAAGUAGCAGAAGAAAAUCAACUGGGUUCAUAGUGAGGCAGGAGGAUGGUGUCAAUUAUCCUCUCAGCACAAAGGUCUAUCAAGGGUCAUGUUCCAAAAGUAACAGUAUGGUGAAGUGUGCUCCAAAAUUCUUCAGAAAUAUUUCAAAAGACACAAAAAUAGUACCAAUCUAUGCACUAAAGUGAAAAACCGAGAUAUUGAUUCUUUGACAGGUAAACAUCCAUACCCUCGCUGCUCCCAUCUAAUGGGACUCUAAUCAAAGGGGAAAACCCAAUAAUGCACUAGAAAAUCCUAUAAUCCAAAUAUGUAGAGGAAUUGCAGCAGAAGAGUUGUAGCAAAAGCAAAAGAAAGUGAUUCAGUCUGACCUUUAUAUCUCCCUCGCUAUAUGCUCUUCUCAUCCCAUAAGCAGUUCCAAGAUCCACUCCAGAAAAAUCCAGAAAAUUCGGCUUCACUGCAGCUCCUUGCAUCCACUCCAUUGAGUUCAAGCAUCCUGAGCUGACACUUUUUGGUAAUGAUGCAUCGGGAAGGAAUUUGUUCUCUUGAACCUGGUUUUCAUCAACCCGCAUGACAGGAAUUUUAAUGUCCAGAAUCUCUGAGAGUGGUGUUUCUAUGGCUGCUUUUUCCAUGAGGUCCUUCUUGCACUCAUAGAAAAUCUCACUAAGGAGCUGCUCAGUUUCAAUUGAUUCAAUAUCUGCUACCUUUAGUCCUUGUGAGGAGAUGACUUCUUCCCCACAGGAGAUCAUUGAAAGGGCUGCUGUCAUGGGAUCAAGGCCCACAAGUGGCUCUUCAAUUAUUGGUUCUGGUGCUUUGAAUAGAUCCCCUUCUCCUCCGAGGUCAUAUUCUGAUAUGGUAGAGGUCUGAAAUAUGUUGCUCUACAUUAAACAAGAAACCAACAAAUUAUGAGACUUGAGAAAGUAUGAAGUAAACAUUUAUUAUAACUUCAUCAAUUAUACAGCAACAGUUUAAGAUUCUUAAAUAAGCUGCAAGAAGUCAAAUUCCAUAACAAGUGCUAUUUUGAGAACAUAUCUAAAGAACUGAAAGCAAUCAUGCACAACUUUACAGAUGUGGAAGCUGCAGAUAUUAUAAAAAGCAACCCACUUUAAUGCCCCUUUGUAUUUCAUUGGAGCACAAGAAAAAUGAAGUUACUUGAAUGAACUAUCAAGCACAUCUUAAAAUUGCCCCACAGACUAUUAAACACAAAAAGUGAAACUUACAAUCUUUCAAUUUCACAAUUCAACUUCUAAAAAUUUUUUUUGUUGGUUGAUUUAAACAAUUUUUAAGUUCAAUUCCAGAAUCAAGAGAAUCAUAUAUGACGCAAAACCUCUUUUACCGAGUCCAAUAAAGAACCGAUCGAGUAAGAUUAAAAACAAACAAAUUGAUCUGAAAGACAUCUUUGAGAAAAUGCAAAAUGCCAUAUAUUUGGAAAAAAGUUCUUAGAAGUUGGCCAAACUAAGUCUUAUUUUGCACAAAAGCAUAGAUCUACAGCAACUUUUUGAAGGGUAAUUUUCCUUUUUUGUUUCAUUUUCCAAAGUUUAGUUUCCCCACUCAAGAGCGGGCGGAGGAAAAAGAUAAAAGAGUUGAAAAAAAGAAAAAAACAUAAAAUCGAAGUGGAGAAUACUUUCCCUGUUUAGCUUUCCCUACUUUUUCCAUCUUUAUGCCCCCAAAAAAUAAACAAGGUACUUCUUCUUUUAUCAGCCAGUAAAGCAUUGGUCUUCUUAUAGUUGCAGUACUCUUCAAGUUGCUGAAUAUCUUGAUAGAAAUUCUGCAUAUAGGGAAGCAAUAAACCAGUAUCUGCAUACAUUUUUGUAAAACUCGCUCUGUUUUUGAGAAGCAGAAAGCUUUUUCUAUGAGCAAAGAGGAAUCACCUAUUGAAAAACAGAGCACAAACAAAAGAGACACACACUAAGCAAAGCAGGCAAAUGCAACAAAGAGAGAGUGAGGAAAU